UCUUUGGGUUCUGGGGCGAGUAUUCGCGCAAGCGAGAAAGUUAAAAGAAUUGACGGAAGGGCACCACCAGGCGUGGAGCUUGCGGCUUAAUUUGACUCAACACGGGAAAACUCACCUGGCCCGGACACCGUGAGGAUUGACAGAUUGAGAGCUCUUUCAUGAUUCGGUGGUUGGUGGUGCAUGGCCGUUCUUAGUUGGUGGAGUGAUUUGUCUGGUUUAUUCCGAUAACGAGCGAGACUCUAGCCUACUAAAUAGUUACUGGAUAAUUUUAUCGUCCAGACAACUUCUUAGAGGGACAAGCGGUGUUUAGCCGCAUGAAGUUGAGCAAUAACAGGCCUGUCAUGCCCUUCGAUGUCCAGGGCUGCACGCGCGCUACACUGGAGGAAUCAGCGUGCUGUAACCAUUACCGAAAGGUAUUGGUAACCCCUUGAAAAUCCUCCGUGAUCGGGAUCGGGAAUUGCAAUUAUUUCCCUUGAACGAGGAAUUCCUAGUAAGUGUGAGUCAUCAGCUCACGUUGAUUACGUCCCUGCCCUUUGUACACACCGCCCGUCGCUGCCCGGGACUGAGCCGUUUCGAGAAAAGCGGAGACUGCUGUUUCAAUACCUUUUCAAGGGUAGAGAUUCUUUGGUGGAAACUGCUUUAAUCGCAGUGGCUUGAACCGGGAAACAGACUUACGAAGGUUUCAGUAGGUGAACCUGCGGAACGAUAAUUAUAGUA
rnacentral:rRNA from 1 species